CAAAAAUAGCUUUAUAUCAAUAUUUAAAUCAUUGUUCAAUUCUAUUAAUUCUGAAAGUUUUAUAAAUUCUUUCCAUAUGACAAUUGUAAUAAAAUGCAUUGAAUUUGUACAAGAUGACACACACACUUGGCCACACAUUUCGUUUUCAAUUUAAUUGCUGCCGCUUAAAAUCGACGCAUGUGGCUUUUUGUGGAUACUGUUCAACACACGAAACGAAAAAUCAAACAAAAAAGUCACAGUUAUAAAAUCGACAAACGUCACCACCUCGAAACAUAUGUUUUAGACAGCACAGCACAACUAUUUCUAUUCAGCACCGGCGUAACGAAGAAGAGAAGAACCCCAAGACGCUACAUUCACUGUUCUACCUGAGAAACUCACCACCGCAAGUUGGCAAAAUAUACUCAAUAUUUAGGAGGAUGAGAAUAACUGCGAAACGAAAUAUACUCACUAUUUAGGGGAGAGAAUGUGGUUACCGCUCAGUAAUGGAAAGUACGCAUAAUCGUGUAUUUUCCGCCCUUUUUAAUGCAGUCCGCACUUUGCACACAAUCGACUACUUUUUAGCACUAUUUGAUGAAAUACGAAAAUAUGUACAUAGGUAUUUUUAUUUGCGACUUAAAGAAUACGAUAUUUUUAAAACUAUACAGUAUGAUAGCACAUACACAAUUUUUAAUUUUAGUAAAAUUAAUUUUGAGGAAACUAAAAUAUGCGUUGACAAAUAGAAAAGCGGAAAUUGUGUAUUCUUAGCAGAUUGGAUAGAUAAAUGUAAAAUUGUGGGCAUUUCUACAGUGUGGUUCUAUAAUAAAGAUCCAAUGAAUAUAUCGGUA